GAACUUCACAGCUUAAAGACAAUAGGCAGUUAUGCUUGAGAAGCAGAGCCUAGAUGAGUUCCUUUCAAUUAUACACAAAGGCAAAGCAGUCGUCAUCUCCGUGUCUCCUCAGUUUAGAGCCUCGCUUGCUGUUCACUUUGACAUUUCCCAACUUCAGUAUGCUGCUAGAGAGGCCAAAAUUGUUGCCCAAGCAGGGAGAAAGCAUGUUAUCACUAUCUCUA